AGCAAAUGGCGACCUGGCCACACCUUUGUCUGGCCUCCCGAGGUGAUCACAAAAGCAUUUGGCACCCCGUCCCAGUGACUGCUAUGGACACAACUCAACCCUUCUAGCCAUGCCUUUGAACCCCUGCUGGUCUUCUGCAUGUGACAAUCUACAAGGUAAAUAUUUCUACUGGAUCCAAAUAGCUGGUUAAGAUUAACAUCUGUCCUAAAUGUCAAGUCCCGUUGUGUACAUCCCUGAUCCCUCUUGUUUCCUGUGUCCACAAACCCUACCUAGCAUUGGUAACUUCUGCUUGUUUAUUUUGAUAAGGGAUCUGCAUCUAGAAAGUUACCCCACAUUGCUCUAGUAGAACCCCAAAGCCUGGCCCCAGGCCUCCAAACAAGGAUUCAGUACUAUGAUACUGUAUGGUGGUAUUAUUUAGGAGUGUCUACCCCACUGAGUUCCUAAAUAAAAGACACAAAACCUUUAUAUCUAGAAUAAGCCUUAAAGCACUAGAGCUGGGCAGAUGGCCACCCUCUGCUAGUUUGUCUGCUUCUCUAGUAACCCUAAGACUUCAGUUGCCAUGUUCUGCCUUGUAGCCUUCCAUAAGCCUGAAGCAGGCUAAACCAGACCUUGACCUUGCUGCCACUAAAGAGAUUAUCUAGGGUGGAGCCUUCCUCCCUAGAUCACUCUAUUGUUCUGCCACUGCAGCUGCUGCUUCAAGAUACCCGCAGAGAAGCCGCUGAGCUAUUCCAGAGACUACGCCCUAUUCUGAACAUCAUCACCUGCAGCUGGUUCCAGGCUCCAAGGAUGAAUUGGCGGAAUGGACUUUUCUCCCCUUUUCUUUAUAAGGCGUGUUCCCCGACAUUAAAGUUGAACCUUGAGAAGACUAGCAUGUCUUGGUUCCAUUGUUUCUCAACCCACCUAGGCUCCCUCUUUUCUUCCAGAUUCCAAGAUGCCUUCCAGGCUCGAACCUGGACAUGUGAGCCGCUGGCCAGCCCCCAACACUGCCUGGGCCACACCUACUCCAUCAGGCUGACCUUCGUGCCCACAAUCCACCUGCCCCACAGAAUCUUCUUCCUUCCCCUCUCCUCUUCUAGUCUCUCACUCAGACCCCAAGCCCCAGAACCCAAGCCCUGCCUACCUCUUUCUGCCCAGCUACAGGCUGUAGGCAUUUUUAUUGACCCAUCAGGGAUAGCUUGGGAGACAAGGUUACAUAGCAUCAUGUACAGGAGGAUUUCCUUGUCCCUAAGGCUGUGUGUGUGUGGUAGGGGGACCAGAUCUUGGAGGCCAGUAUGUAUCAUUACAAUACAUAGCAACAGACCAAACCUGGACAGUACUGUGGGGGAGGGGGAGUCUGCAGAGGACAAGGAGAGGAUAGUUCAAUCCCUAGGCAGGAAAGGGAAGCUGCUUUGUCACCUGUCUGGCCCGAGGCAGUAGGAGCUCUUAUCUUUACAAUCAUCCAUCAAAGUCUAGACUGACUCCACAUCUGUGAGAAACAGUAAGGAUAAACAGAGAGUGCUGCUUUCUUCAAUCUACCACACCAAGCUGGGUUUCUUUGUUUGUUUUUGUUUUUAUUUUCUUUUAGCUUUUGUUUUUAUUGAGAGAAAGCCUCACAUAGCCCGGGAUGGCCUCAAACUCUCUACAUAGCUAAGGAUAGCAUAGAACUGUUCUUCCCAUCUCUAGGUGCUGGGUUUACAGCCAUGGGACCACCAUCCCUUGCUUGUCUGGUGGUAGGAUUUAAACCAUGGCCUAGUACAAAACUAGGCCCAAACUCUAUUGAUUGAGCUCCCUCCCUAGCCCCAAGCUAUCUAACAUUCUAUUUCUUUCAUAGUCUCCCCACCCCCUCACAUUACUGAUUUGUUUUGUUGUCUUGUUCUACUUUGUUUUAGAUAAAGUCUUGCUGUGUAGACCAGACUGGCCUCAAACUCAAGAUCCUCUUGCCUCAGCCUCUUGAGUGCUGAGGGCACUCAAUUGCAGGAGCACAUAGUUAUCUC
rnacentral:lncRNA from 1 species